AAAACAGUGGUUUUGAAAUAAUGAAAACAUGAGAGGAUUAAAAGCAUAAAUAACCCAUAAGUGCUUAAAACCCAUUUCAAUCUCAAAUUUAAAGCUAUUCUGCAGCAGCUUCAAAAAUUGUUUCAUCUUCUUCCCAACUCCUCACGCCAAAACCCCCUCCCUUUUAACUUUGAUUUGGACAAAUGAAGCAAACGAUACCGAUGGCGCGCCUCUGCUGAUUUGAUUUGGCUUUAUAUAGCCGAAACAACGGAGAAAGAAACUAUCGAAAAAAACUCUCCCCCCCCUUUGUCGUCCUCUCUGCCAUUAUUUUUAUUCGUGGUUCAUGGCUUGUUGCCGCUGUGGGCGUUGGAGAACGUGGGCAGUUGCUAUGCGAUCAUGCGUGAAGACGGUUGCUGCAACGUGGGGGCGAGGGUGAUGCCGAUCUGCUGCUUAUUGCCAAAUGUUUCUGCUGUUCAUUUUUUUUAUUUUAGGCUAGUGGGUCAGGUAUUUGGGUUAAUGACUUGGGCUUGUAAUGGGUUUGGGCUUUAGGCUUAGUUGGGCCCGGGUCAAAAAUUGGGUAUUACAAUAAAGAGUUGUGAUUAUUUGAAGAUGUUUAUUGUUAAGCAAUGUAAAUAUCUAAAUAGAUAUUUAUGCUUGUAUAAAGGGAGAUGAUAAUUACUUCAGAAAUUUUUUUUAUACAAAUUGAUAUUUUUGACGCACAUUGUUCAAUGAAUUAUUUUAAUCAAUGUAGGCAAUCAUUGAGUUUCAUCAUCUUCCCUAAGUUUAGUUGCAAAUAUUGUUUUUGUACACCCACAUAUACGGUGGACUGAAUAAAACCUUAAAAAACUGAGAUGCAACAUGCCUUGUACCUUCAGUUAGCGCCACAAUAAGUGCU